UGGAAAAUGAAAAUAACUAACGCAAAUUGAAGGAGACAUUUUGAAUAUUCAAUUAUUAAUAAUUAAAUUAAUAUUUGCAAUUCCAAGGACGCCUUAUUUAUUUAAGAAUACUGAAUAAAAUCAAAACCAGUAUAAUUGUGAAAUUUAUUUAUUUAUUGAAACGAGAAAAGAGAAAAAGCAAACAAAUUUGAAUUAAUAAGAAAAUAUUUUUAUGUAUAAGAAAAUUAGAAUUAUCAUAUUUUAGACAUCACGACAACCUGAAAACAGUUAAUGGCUGAUGUUGUUAAUGUGCAAAAUAAACAUAAGGUGGUAGAAUUAAAUACAGGAUUUUAGUAACAACAAUCAGAGAGAAUAAAGUUAUUUACGCAGAUUCAAAUCGAAGAAAUCGAAGCGAAAUGGAGGCAUACGCAACAUGUGGCGCGGCAUGAAUUCGAUAGCACAAAACUAAGCUCCGAUUCGGCAAUAUCAUUUACUAUAUUACUACAUAUCAACCAUGGGCGCCAUAAUGUUACAAUAUGCUGAUGACAAUAUGCCCGUGACAUGGAUUCAUCCAUAGGAUAACGAUCCGAAAAGUCCUGCGCGUAAUACCAAGUAAUGGUUUCAGCUUAAUAUGGUAACUCUUAGUCUGGACUUGAACCCAAUCGAGAAUCUAUAGACACAUCUCAAGAAAAGAAUUCGUUCCCACAAAGCUGGAAAUUUCCAAGAUUUAUACGAAAAAGUUAAACAAUAAUAGAAUCGUAUUCCAAGGGAAAUCUGCACAAGUUUAGUGGAAUCAAUGCCGCGCAGAUGCUAAGCCGCAAUCGACAGACAAGGAAACAGCGACGAAUGGACAUGCCCUAGGGGACAGUAAAUAGAGUUAAUGACUAUACAGAUGUCUCAGCAUCCAUAUUUGCCAGCCGAAGUUACAUAUAACCUUUUCUAUCGACAGCCAAAGUUGCCAACGAUUUACAUUGCUAGAAUUUAUCUAAAAGAAAAAAUCUGCGCAAUAUUUCGGUUAUUGGAAGGAGCCCUGGGACAAUCGUUAAUCUCUAACGGGAACUGUUUUAAAGGCGGCAAUAUCAGUGUAGCUAUUGAUUUUCAAAACGAUCGAAGGAAUCUGGUAGUAUGAGAAACCCAAAAAAAAGCUGGAGUGCUUUCAUCCAUUCGGACGACAUGACAGAGACAGCGGCUACGCUGUAGAUCAUACAGCUCCAUCAUCUACGGUUUUCGCCGUUGUGAAUGCGCAGAGGACUAUAAAUCGUUCGCAAAACUUUUCUCUCGAACACUCCUGAAGCCGGCUCAUCAGAUAUUGAU
rnacentral:lncRNA from 1 species